rnacentral:rRNA from 1 species
CACGUAGGGCGCAAGCGUUGUCCGGAAUUAUUGGGCGUAAAGAGCUCGUAGGUGGUUUGUUACGUCUGCUGUGAAAUCCUAGGGCUUAACCCUGGGCUUGCAGUGGAUACGGGCAGACUAGAGGUAGGUAGGGGAGAAUGGAAUUCCUGGUGUAGCGGUGAAAUGCGCAGAUAUCAGGAGGAACACCGGUGGCGAAGGCGGUUCUCUGGGCCGUACCUGACACUGAGGAGCGAAAGCGUGGGGAGCGAACAGG